rnacentral:rRNA from 1 species
CCUACGGGUGGCUGCAGUGAGGUAUAUUGGUCAAUGGGCGCGAGCCUGAACCAGCCAAGUCGCGUGAAGGAUGACUGCCCUACGGGUUGUAAACUUCUUUUGCAAGGGAGUAAAGUGAGGCACGUGUGCCUUUUUGUAUGUACUUUAUGAGUAAGGAUCGGCUAAGUCCGUCCCAGCCGCGUGGGUAAUACGGGGGGGCCGAGCGUUAUCCGGAUUUAUUGGGUUAAAGGGGUGCGUAGGCGGAUUUUUAAGUCAGCGGUAAAAUGUCCGGGCCAAACCCGGGCCGGCCGUUGAAACUGGGGAUCUGGAGUGGGCGAGAGGUAUGCGGAAUGCGUGGUGUAGCGGUGAAAUGCAUAGAUAUCACGAAGAACUCCGGUGGCGAAGGCAGCAUACCGGCGCACGACUGACGCUGAGGCGCGAAAGCGUGGGGAUCGAACAGGAUUAGAUACCCCAGUAGUC